UUCUAAUGAGCUUGUUUUCAUUAAAGAAACAAACAAGCAAAAAGCAACCUAGCUUGGGCUGCUGCUGUUGCAAGACCCUGAGACUAAAACUGUGCUUAUAGAGCAUUUUUUAUCUUUACAAUAAAACUCAAACCCAAGAGUGGUCAGUCUUGACUUUUCUUCAGUGGGGAAAUUAAAAAAUGUGUCUGAGCCUGAAGGAUGGAGGUUCCAGUUCAGGAAAAUAUUAAAACAGAGAACUCAAAGAGACUUCAUAAAAUGCUUACAGGAAAUUCACUUGCCAGAAGUAUCCAUAGAGAGGGAGGAGAAAAUGAAUGUGAAUGCAGCCACAGCAAAUGUUGGUCAGUGAAUAGUCAAGGGAGCAGGAGGUGCAAUUCCAGUCUAAUUACAGUCUGAACAAUGGAUGUCAUCCAUGAAAUGAAAAGAUUUAAAACAGAGCCUUUUUAUGUACAUUAUCCAGCCACCCAAAUAUGAAUUGGUUCUGAUAUCUCUUGGGUUUUUUUCCCCAUAUUCAUAGUCAUGCAAGACAAACAAAUAUUUAUAGUUUCAGGUUCCUGUCCUUCCCAUCAGAAUAAAAAAUUUUAAAAAGCAGUAGGAUUGAAUCA
rnacentral:lncRNA from 1 species